GAUGAACGCUGGCGGCGUGCCUAAUACAUGCAAGUCGAGCGAACGGACGAGAAGCUUGCUUCUCUGAUGUUAGCGGCGGACGGGUGAGUAACACGUGGAUAACCUACCUAUAAGACUGGGAUAACUUCGGGAAACCGGAGCUAAUACCGGAUAAUAUUUUGAACCGCAUGGUUCAAAAGUGAAAGACGGUCUUGCUGUCACUUAUAGAUGGAUCCGCGCUGCAUUAGCUAGUUGGUAAGGUAACGGCUUACCAAGGCAACGAUGCAUAGCCGACCUGAGAGGGUGAUCGGCCACACUGGAACUGAGACACGGUCCAGACUCCUACGGGAGGCAGCAGUAGGGAAUCUUCCGCAAUGGGCGAAAGCCUGACGGAGCAACGCCGCGUGAGUGAUGAAGGUCUUCGGAUCGUAAAACUCUGUUAUUAGGGAAGAACAUAUGUGUAAGUAACUGUGCACAUCUUGACGGUACCUAAUCAGAAAGCCACGGCUAACUACGUGCCAGCAGCCGCGGUAAUACGUAGGUGGCAAGCGUUAUCCGGAAUUAUUGGGCGUAAAGCGCGCGUAGGCGGUUUUUUAAGUCUGAUGUGAAAGCCCACGGCUCAACCGUGGAGGGUCAUUGGAAACUGGAAAACUUGAGUGCAGAAGAGGAAAGUGGAAUUCCAUGUGUAGCGGUGAAAUGCGCAGAGAUAUGGAGGAACACCAGUGGCGAAGGCGACUUUCUGGUCUGUAACUGACGCUGAUGUGCGAAAGCGUGGGGAUCAAACAGGAUUAGAUACCCUGGUAGUCCACGCCGUAAACGAUGAGUGCUAAGUGUUAGGGGGUUUCCGCCCCUUAGUGCUGCAGCUAACGCAUUAAGCACUCCGCCUGGGGAGUACGACCGCAAGGUUGAAACUCAAAGGAAUUGACGGGGACCCGCACAAGCGGUGGAGCAUGUGGUUUAAUUCGAAGCAACGCGAAGAACCUUACCAAAUCUUGACAUCCUUUGACAACUCUAGAGAUAGAGCCUUCCCCUUCGGGGGACAAAGUGACAGGUGGUGCAUGGUUGUCGUCAGCUCGUGUCGUGAGAUGUUGGGUUAAGUCCCGCAACGAGCGCAACCCUUAAGCUUAGUUGCCAUCAUUAAGUUGGGCACUCUAAGUUGACUGCCGGUGACAAACCGGAGGAAGGUGGGGAUGACGUCAAAUCAUCAUGCCCCUUAUGAUUUGGGCUACACACGUGCUACAAUGGACAAUACAAAGGGCAGCGAAACCGCGAGGUCAAGCAAAUCCCAUAAAGUUGUUCUCAGUUCGGAUUGUAGUCUGCAACUCGACUACAUGAAGCUGGAAUCGCUAGUAAUCGUAGAUCAGCCAUGCUACGGUGAAUACGUUCCCGGGUCU
rnacentral:rRNA from 1 species